UACGUAGGGUGCAAGCAUUGUCCGGAAUUAUUGGGCGUAAAGAGCUCGUAGGCGGUCUGUCGCGUCUGCUGUGAAAACUCAGGGCUUAACCCUGAGCUUGCAGUGGGUACGGGCAGACUAGAGUGCGGUAGGGGAGACUGGAAUUCCUGGUGUAGCGGUGAAAUGUGCAGAUAUCAGGAGGAACACCGGUGGCGAAGGCGGGUCUCUGGGCCGU
rnacentral:rRNA from 1 species